AUUUCCUUGAACCUAACCAUUACAUCAUUCACUCUGUGCAAUGGCUAGACCUUGUUCACUAGAGGUCAGUGGGAAACUAUUGGACCUCCAUGCAAGAAUUCCUGCAAGUUGGUCUUGCAGAGUCCUAACAGAAGCAUCACUUUCAAACUAUGGAAGCUGCUUUCCAGCAAGGUAGACAAUCAGCAGCAGAAGUCCUGGGGUUCGGAGAUUUUCCUUGCCCUGACUGGAGACGACAGUGAAUGAAUGUGGGAACUGCUGCAUGCAAAAUAUGUGCUCCACCACAGUAGAGAGAAUGCUGCAAAGUAAUUGUGCCUUUUUAAAUUUUUUGUAUUAUUACUUAUUUUCCAAAAUACAAAAGGUGACACGUUAUCAUUAUAUAGGGCAAUACAUGUUGUGAAAUUGCUAUCAAGCGACAUCUGCAUUUUUUUUAAAACUCCACUUAUUCAGGCACUUCUCCCAGUACUGUAUCAGUUAAGUUCAAACAGGUAUAAAGACUUUUUGA